rnacentral:rRNA from 1 species
UACGUAGGUGGCGAGCGUUGUCCGGAUUUACUGGGCGUAAAGAGCGCGCAGGCGGUCGUGCAAGUCGCGUGUGAAAGCCCCCGGCUCAACUGGGGAGGGUCACGCGAUACUGAUCGACUCGAAGGCAGGAGAGGGAAGUGGAAUUCCCGGUGUAGUGGUGAAAUGCGUAGAUAUCGGGAGGAACACCAGUGGCGAAGGCGA